GACGAACGCUGGCGGCGUGCCUAAUACAUGCAAGUCGAGCGCAGGAAACCGACGGAACUCUUCGGAGGGAAGGCAGCGGAAUGAGCGGCGGACGGGUGAGUAACACGUAAGGAACCUGCCUCAAGGAUUGGGAUAACUCCGAGAAAUCGGAGCUAAUACCGGAUAGUUCAUCGGACCGCAUGGUCCGUUGAUGAAAGGCGCUCCGGCGUCACCUUGAGAUGGCCUUGCGGUGCAUUAGCUAGUUGGUGGGGUAACGGCCCACCAAGGCGACGAGGCAUAGCCGACCUGAGAGGGUGAUCGGCCACACUGGGACUGAGACACGGCCCAGACUCCUACGGGAGGCAGCAGUAGGGAAUCUUCCACAAUGGACGAAAGUCUGAUGGAGCAACGCCGCGUGAGUGAUGAAGGUUUUCGGAUCGUAAAACUCUGUUGUAAGGGAAGAACACGUACGAGAGGAAAUGCUCGUACCUUGACGGUACCUUACGAGAAAGCCACGGCUAACUACGUGCCAGCAGCCGCGGUAAUAC
rnacentral:rRNA from 1 species